GGGAGAUGGGCGGGGGCAGGGAUCACGUGGAAAAGCCGGGCGGAAACGUGGAUUCUCAGCUUCUGCCCUGUCUUUGUCCGGUCUUCUACCCUGGACGCGGAGCUGCCUUCCCGGGAUGUGGCCUCCGAGCAGAACUCGCUCCGGGCAGGUCGGACUUGGCGUCAGCCCGCAGCUCGACGGCCCCUCUUCGUCCUCCUUUCUGGUCUUGGAUGUCCUGACCCAGUUUCCACGCGGAGCACCCCGUGUCUGGAAGCGGGACUGGACAGGACGCGGGAGACCGGCAAUGACUGCUGGGCCAGGCUGCGACUCAUUGAAGGUGUUUGAGAGCACUAAGUAAAGAGGAACUGAUAUCAGUAGGACUUCCGACUGAAAGGAACAAUCAAACAAAACAAAUAUGUCUAUUUUCACCUCAAUUAUUUAUCAUUGCUUUAAUCUGUAAUAAGAUCAUGUCAGAAUAGACAAUGAGCCGUAUAAAGGAUAGGAAUAAAUAUUGUGAUUGGAGGUGAUAACAUUGCUUUCUUGAGAAACUAAAGAUGAAACAACUAUAAAACUGUUAGAACUAUUGGCAAUUUACUAGUUACUGAUUAAAUAUAUAUGAUUUACAUCAUAAAAUACAUUAUUGGACUAAAA